GGCUCGGUGGGCAAAUAGGCAAAGCCACUUGUCUUAGGAACAAGAGUUUUAAGGGUUCGACUCCCUUCCGAGCUA
rnacentral:tRNA from 1 species